rnacentral:rRNA from 1 species
AUUGAACGCUGGCGGCAUGCUUUACACAUGCAAGUCGAACGGUAACAGGGUGCUUGCACCGCUGACGAGUGGCGAACGGGUGAGUAAUGCGUCGGAACGCACCGAGUAAUGGGGGAUAACGCAGCGAAAGCUGUGCUAAUACCGCAUACGCUCUGAGGAGGAAAGCGGGGGACCUUCGGGCCUCGCGUUAUUCGAGCGGCCGACGUCUGAUUAGCUAGUAGGUGAGGUAAGAGCUCACCUAGGCGACGAUCAGUAGCGGGUCUGAGAGGAUGAUCCGCCGCACUGGGACUGAGACACGGCCCAGACUCCUACGGGAGGCAGCAGUGGGGAAUUUUGGACAAUGGGCGCAAGCCUGAUCCAGCCAUGCCGCGUGUCUGAAGAAGGCCUUCGGGUUGUAAGGGACUUUUGUCAGGGAGGAAAUCCUUAGCGCUAAUACCGUUGAGGGAUGACAGUACCUGAAGAAUAAGCACCGGCUAACUACGUGCCAGCAGCCGCAGUAA